GAAAGGAAGGGGAAUAUGGUUUCUGAAAGAAGUGUAGUGCUGUACCAGGAAGGAACAAUGCACAUGUAAAUAAAAUAUAUGUUACUUGAAAUUGCACAAAAGUGGCUAGCCACUUGUUUUGACCAGAGGAUUGAUAUUUGAAGGAUGCUGGUAGAUAGCCCACAUUUCAAAGCAUCUUACAGACUUCUUGCCUUAACAACUGACACUGAAGUAAAGAAGAAGAUUGUGACUGUAAAAUUGGAGGUUGAGAGAACAACAUUAAGACAAGAGAAAGCGUGAACCCAGCAAUCCAGUUAUGUUCCUACCUGAAGUCAGGAAUCAAGGAGAAGAUGAUUACGUAUCACUGCCAGAGUCCCAUGUGGCGGGGGAACCCUCUGGAGAGAGGGGCAAAUUGCGUGCCCAUUGAGAAGUGAGUUCUGGAUGGACAAAACAAGAUUCGCUUCAAAAUUUGAUUCACUUCAAAGACAAAGUUAGGACCCAACCAGCUCCAGGCUCUGGACCCUUUCACAGCAUCCAUGUUCACACACAUAAGAGGACUAUACAGAAGUUUGCUCUAAGUGUUCAAGUUUUUAUUCUUCUCAGGCUUUAAUUUUUGUUUGUAAAUGAGGAUAAACAAUGCCUGGUGAUUUUCAUAAUCCAUCACAUUUUGAAGAUGAAACAUUUUGUUCUUAGAAUACAAGAGGGGGGAAUGAUCGCAGCACAGUGCAAGAAAUUUAUUAGAAUUUUUUUAAAUGCCUGAAGCUGUGAAGAAUAUUCCUUCACUACCGUGUUGCAAGAGAAAGAUUAUCUUCUUCUGUGAUCUGGAAGUGGAAAUUUGAUCUUUCAGUGUAGUCAGAGUUGCAGUGUUGCAGUCAGAGUUGAUGGUUUGUCCAUGUUCCAGGAAAUCCAGAAGGAUCAUGCCUUUUCUAUUCCAAAAGACAGUGCACAUCACUUUACACUCUGAAGGCUGCAUCUUGGACUUUUCCUUUGGCAGGGAACUCAUGCACCAACAAAAUGGACUGCUGUUUUGGUAGUGGUGAAACCACGUCUCUUCAACAGUAAUGACACAAUUCAGGGAACCAUCACUUUCAUAUUGCUUCAAUAGGUCCAGACAGACUUGUAUACAGUGUUCCUGAGAGCAUUCACGGGACACACCUGGCCCAAACUUUGAGAUAUUGCAGUAAUGCCAGCAUUAUUUCCAACAUAGUGAAGUUAAUACUCAGCUCCAUCCCCUGGCCAUAAUACAUCAACUCACAUGGAUGAGCAUGCCAUCCAGAAUAUGUCUUGUCUUUCACAUCACUGACACCAUUGCUGACACACACCACCCACAGCCUCACUGUGCUCACAUUCACUGUUUGGUCUCCAGAAAUGUUCAUCAAGUAUCAAUGGAUGUCAAUGUCAGUGGGUGCCAUUUUUUCCACAUGGAAGAAUUCAGCGACACACCGUUGCUUCAUAUGAACUUCCAUGUCAGAUGCCAUUGUGUCAGACUGCCUUUCUGCUGCCGUCUGUCUCACAACAACAACAACAUAUAAUGGAGUAUUGGAGGGAAGGCUCAACCUCUACUGCCAUACCGCCAAUAUCUGUCUCUGAUUUUGUGGGCCAACAUAACAAAAAUAAAAGACAUUACUUUCAGAGCAGUGUUCAUAUUUAUCAAUGUCUUCUAUGGAAAACAAGCAUACAAACAGUUAGUCAUCAUUUUAAUACUGAAAAGGAGUAAACAUGUAAACAAAGUUGGAAUUGACUUUUACAAACUUUCCCAUAUUAAGUUGUUCAGAUAAAUGCAUUAGAGCAUUCAAUCCUUGCAACACCUAGCCUUUAUUUGUUCACCCUGACCUAAUUUUCAGACUUCAAGUUUUCAUGUGUAUAAGCAAUUUAUCAUGAAUAUGUAGACUUGACUUUGUCAUACAUGUACAGAGCGCAGUUGUCAAGGAAAAAGUUCUUCAUGGAAUAAUUACCUUUAAAGAAUGGUCUUCCUUCUGCCUGCAUGAAGAUGUCUCAUUAAACCAUUAAAGCUUUCUUGCACACAGUUCCCUGUAAUACAGACCCAAACUAUUUAAAUACUAAUCUGUACUAAUGCUUUUACAUUUAAAGUAAGUAUGUUUUUAUUCCAUUUUAGACAACCAAUCCCUCUUUCUUGUCCAUAUUUACAUUUUUCUCUUACAUUAAGCUCAUACAGUUUAACACAUUUAGACAGUGAUUAUUCAUCUGAGGAAUCAAAUGUUAC
ensembl:lncRNA